rnacentral:rRNA from 1 species
UACAGAGGGGGCAAGCGUUAUUCGGAAUUAUUGGGCGUAAAGGGCGCGUAGGCGGCUUGGCAAGUGACGGGUGAAAUCCCUCGGCUUAACCGAGGAACUGCCUGUCAGACUGCUUGGCUUGAGGCCGGGAGAGGCGAGUGGAAUUCCCAGUGUAGCGGUGAAAUGCGUAGAUAUUGGGAGGAACACCAGUGGCGAAGGCGACUCGCUGGACCGGAUCUGACGCUGAGGCGCGAAAGCGUGGGGAGCAAACAGG